AUGACACGAGUCCUAAUGGACGGUGGCAGCAGCCUCAACCUGCUCUAUCAGGAUACAGUACGCAAAAUGGGCAUUAAUCCCUCACGAAUCAAGCCCACGAUAACUACCUUUAAAGGAGUCAUACCAGGCGUAGAGGCCCGUUGUACGGGCUCAAUCACGCUGGAGGUGGUCUUCGGUUCCCCGGAUAACUUCCGAAGCGAAGAGCUAAUUUUGAUAUCGUCCCCUUCCGCAGCGGCUACCACGCACUGCUCGGACGAACCGCGUUUGCUAGAUUCAACGCGGUGCCACAUUAUGCUUAUCUCAAGCUCAAGAUGCCCGGUCCACGCGGCGUCAUUACAGUAA
rnacentral:rRNA from 1 species